rnacentral:lncRNA from 1 species
AGUAUAGUGGAGUGGAUAAGGAUUAUACCCUCAAAAGUAACCACCUAUUCUGAGAUUUGCCAAGAAUCCUCGUCGAUACGAACUUUCAGCAAAUUAAACCUGGAGGGGCGCAAAACAGAAAGUGUGAGUGGGCAAAAACAAAGUUUUUCAAAAACCAUUUCAAUUAUCAAAUGUAGUAACCCCUUGCCGUAAAACCUGUAUAAUUUCCCAGAAAAUAGAAUAUAUACAUAUAUCGAAACCAUACUCAAAAUAGCAAAAUCCACUUAUAUGCCAUGUCAAAUAACUCAGUAAAAAAUAAGUAAGCCAGGUGAAAUAAACCAAUAUGAAAUAGAAUGCCAAAUUACAAAAGAGUGUAAAAAUGUUUGUCAAAAUGUUAAUCAACACCGUUGUGUGUGUAUAUAUAUAUAUAUAUAUAUAUAUAUAUAUAUAUAUAUAUAUGAUGAGAUCAUACAAUUGAGCAAAUUAAAUAAUUUCAGUAGAAAGGCAACAAUCAUGACGGGCGAGCUAACUCUCCAAAUUGCAUUGAAAUUCAUAUAACAAAAGAUAAAUCUUCAAUAAGGCAGCCUCACCACAUAAUUUGUGAGGAAAUUCUGCAUUUGGAGUAAGAUAACGCUCUACUAAAGAUUUUAACCUCCAAUAAAUGAAGUGAACCAUACCGUAUUGUUCACAAUUAAAAAUCUUUGCUCCCUGACAGAUAUGGGUAUAUGUACUCAUAUAUGAAAUUAUUGGGGACAGAAAAUUAAAUACAAGGUCCUGCCAUAGACAGCCUUGUGAUAUUCAACCCAUGUCCAGCGGCCUAUCUGAAUUCAAGGGUGAAUGAAACUAGAGCGGGAAAGUAAUGGCUCUGUCUUCUAUGGCCAAAGUGUUAAACACAAUUUAGCACAUAACAGCCUGUGAUGAUUAAUUGUUGUUGAUCUAAACACAAGUCACUACUCAUUACUGUUGAAGAUAGAAACCAUAUCAGCAGAAGAAUGUCUGUUAGAAAUGCUGUUAGUAGCUGUUAGAGUUUGUUAAGUCAGUUAACUCCAGCUUAAGACACAAGAAAGCUCAUGAGAGCUAUAUAAAGUUGUAGUAGUAUCUAUGUAAUUCAUUCAGAAGUAAUGCACUCAAAUAGUAUCUCUCUCAUCAAUUCCUUUCUUUUCUGCUUUCUCGUUCAUUUAAUCUUUCUCUUAGUUCUUCAUGUUCAUCUGUUAACAGUUAUAAUAUUAAUUACAUUUCACAUAAUAACAUCUAUAGAGAGGUUCUGUUCUCAUUUAGGUAUUAAACCAAGGAAAAUGCUAAUCCGACUCGCCUAAAAGAUAAUAGCAUGUCAAAGAUGAAAAAACCACUUGCAGAGACUUUCCAUUAUCGUGCACGCCUUAGCUAAUUAAUUAGCAUAUCCUGAUGGUGGUUUGCUCCAUAAUUUUCAAAGAUUUGAUGGAUAAUGGUUUAUUUUAUUGGAUUAUCAAGUUUACUAUCCGGAUCUCACUUCAAUUGUUCAUGUAUUUAUAUGUCUGUGGAUCUUCAACUAACCUACCAGCUGGUAGCUGUUAAAUGGAAAGUCUCACAGGAUAUGCUAAUAAUGGUUUAUUUAAAUUUAGUAGCUGUUAAAUGAUAAUGAUGUGUCUGUAGAUCUUCAACUAACAUACCACAUUUAAUAGUACCGGCAAACUUGAUGAGACAUACCAGAAUUCAAUCGGAUCGUGUUGAAAGAAACAUUAAUGAUUGAUACCUACAUAGCAUUAUUGGAGUGAAUGAUUGUAUAUGAUAUUAAGCCGUUAAGAUCUUUGGAUACGAAGUGUGUGUAUAUAUAUUACAUCACGAUAAAACUAAUUUAGUUUUAUUAUUUUAAUUAGUGAUAAGAUUAAAGAAAUCAAUGAUUUAUGUUAUCUUGCCGUAACCUAAGGGCCGGUUUUGAAAUGUUAGAGGUCUUGUGCAGAAGAUAGUAGAUGAGUCUUUGUAUAAAAAUUCAUGCUACAAAGCUAAAUUAUAUGUCUAUAGUUGUACUAAUAGUAGAAUAUUAAAGUGCGCAACGAACAAAACUACAAAAUAAUAAGAAUAUUAUUAAACAA